rnacentral:rRNA from 1 species
GACGAACGCUGGCGGCGUGCUUAACACAUGCAAGUCGAACGGAAAGGCCCUGCUUUUGUGGGGUGCUCGAGUGGCGAACGGGUGAGUAACACGUGAGUAACCUGCCCUUGACUUUGGGAGAACUUCAGGAAACUGGGGCUAAUACCGGAUAGGAGCUCCUGCUGCAUGGUGGGGGUUGGAAAGUUUCGGCGGUUGGGGAUGGACUCGCGGCUUAUCAGCUUGUUGGUGGGGUAGUGGCUUACCAAGGCUUUGACGGGUAGCCGGCCUGAGAGGGUGACCGGCCACAUUGGGACUGAGAUGCGGCACAGACUCGUACGGUAGGCAGCAGUGGGGAAUAUUGCACAAUGGGCGGAAGCCUGAUGCAGCAACGCCGCGUGCGGGAUGACGGGCUGCGGGUUGUAAACCGAUUUCGCCUGUGACGAAGCGUUAGUGACGGUAACGGGUAAAGAAGCACCGGCUAACUACGUG